rnacentral:pre_miRNA from 1 species
UAAAUACUCCCUCCGUCCGGAAAUACUUGUCAUCAAAAUGAAUAAAAGGGGAUGUAUCUAGAUGUAUAUUAGUUCUAGAUACAUCCCUUUUUAUCCAUUUUGAUGACAAGUAUUUUCGGACGGAGGGAGUAGUAA